rnacentral:tRNA from 8 species
GGCCCGUUGGUCAAGGGGUUAAGACACCGCCCUUUCACGGCGGUAACGCGGGUUCGAAUCCCGCACGGGUCACCA